UACAGAGGUCUCAAGCGUUGUUCGGAUUCAUUGGGCGUAAAGGGUGCGUAGGUGGCGGGGUAAGUCAGGUGUGAAAUUUCGGAGCUUAACUCCGAAACUGCAUUUUGAUACUGCCUUGCUUGAGGACUGGAGAGGAGACUGGAAUUCCUGGUGUAGCAGUGAAAUGCGUAGAUAUCAGGAGGAACACCGAUGGCGAAGGCAGGUCUCUGGGCUGACACUGACGCUCAUGCACGAAAGCGUGGGGAGCAAACAGG
rnacentral:rRNA from 1 species